rnacentral:lncRNA from 1 species
CACCAUUCUCCUGCCCCAGCCCCCCGAGUAGCUGGGACUACAGGUGCCCACCACCAUGCCCAGCUAAUUUUUUUUGUAUUUUUAGUAGAGACGGGGUUUCACCGUCUUAGCCAGGAUGGUCUCGAUCUGCUGACCUCGUGAUCCACCUGCCUCGACCUCCCAAAGUGCUGGGAUUACAGGCAUGAGCCACCGCGCCCGGCCUCAAAGGUGUAAUUUUUAAGGCAGAAAGAUGUAAACUAGAAUUGGAUGCCAAUAGAGGCCAAAGCAUUUCUUUAAUAUUUACUUUGGGGCUUUGAAGGUACAUUGCUGUUUUUUUAAAAUUUAUUUUGAAACAGUUUUGAAAUAAAAGAUGGCAGUUAUAACUUUUAACUUAUGCCAAAUGCCAUUAUCAUUUUUAAUAAUUUAGCCAGAUAUGUGUAGUAUCAGAAAGCUUAGUCAUUAAAACCAAAUAAAGACACUUUCUAAAUUGAAUAAAAGGAAAGAAUGACAUGCUUAAUUUCAAGUACCAAAGAGACAGAAUAGUCAGUGAUAUGGUUUGGCUGUGUCCCCACCCAAAUCUCAUCUUGAAUUGUAGCUCCCAUAAUCCCCGUGGGUUGUGGGAGGGAGCCAGCGGGAAGUAACUGAAUCAUGGGGGCGGGUUUUCCUAUGCUAUUCUCGAGGCAGUGAAUAAGUCUCACGAGAUCUGAUGGUUUUAUAUAGGGCAGUUCCCCUGCAUGCACUCUCUUGCCUGCCUCCAUGUAAGACGUGCCUUUGCUCCUCCUUUGCCUUCUGUCAUGAGGAACUGUGAGUCCAUGAAACCUCUUUUUCUUUAUAAUUACCCAGUCUCAGGUAUUUCUUCAUAGCUGUAUGAAAAUGGACUAAUACAGUUGGUUUCUCUACGUGCACUCUCACAUGGGCAAACUGUUUUAAAAAAAAAAUAAUAAUCACCUACUUUAUAAGUAGCGGUCAAAGGGUAAGUCGAAAUUUCAGGUUAAGUAUGACCUGCUUCUUUGAUUAGGAAGAAUGAGGUACAUGUACUGCAUAGUGGGGAGGAAAAAGGCUGAGACUGAAAAUCUAGAGAAAUCUCCACUUUUCAUAGCAAAAAAGAAAAAAAUAUUCAAUAAACAGUGGCUUCACUUCUGUCUUCAGAAGAAAAACAAAUGCCUGCUUCAAUUUUCUUUAUCCCCACUUUUUAAUUUUUCUGAUUUUACUGUAACAGGUAAGCCUUUUUAUAGCAGUGGAGCUAGCCCGAAUGAAGAGUUUAUUAUAAAAAAUAGCCUCUUACAUUAAGCAGCUAAUUAUCAGGAGACAUACAUUUUCAAAUUGAUAAAGCAUGUCUUACUACUUAGAAUUUAUGUAAGUAAAUUCUGCUUCAAAACAGAAAUUCACAUUCUGAAAUAUACUACUCUUUUGAGAAUAGAGGAAGAAUUUUACAUUUUAAUGUUUUUAUUUUUAUUUUGCCCAGGAAGAAUAUGCUGUGAAUAUUUGGUGCGGGUCUUUCAGUUAUCUUUUCUCCUUCAUGUAAUAGGGUCAGAGAGCUGCCAAAAUGCAGUGGUAGGUAUCCUCUCCUUUCACUUUAGGGGUAGCAGAAAACUUGGGAAUACAGUAAGACUUGUCCACCAUUAGUGGUGAUGGGGAUUUCAUGUCCAAAAGUAAUUCCAGCAAAUCCCACAUUCUGUAAACUGUCUCCAUUCCCUCCAGACACACUUUGAGGCCAAGUACCCAUAGAUAUUUACUUUUAACUUGGUUUUCCAUUAUUUCCAACUUUUGUUGAGCAACGGCAUUUUCUAAUUAUAGAAGAGAUUUUUAAGAUGGUCCAAUUCAGUUUGCAUCAUAUCAUGUUACACUGUAACAGUUUGUAAAUUUACCUCCACUUUUUCCACAUUACCUUCCAAUUUUACACCCGUGGGGCAAAUGCUUCAAGUUUACCUUAAUCCUUUCUUUACUGACUUUAAUAGACUGUAAAAUAGUUUUAAGAGGAAUCUCAAAAGGCUUGUCAGGCUUCACCUGGUCCUCAGGCCCUGGAAUUCUUUGAGGUAGCAAAUGCACUUACUAUGGUAAGUAAACAGAGACCACCCUUCCCUUCUACUCUAAGCUAGAAUGAUACAUCUGAUACUGAGAAUAGAGACAGUAAGAAAUCCUGGGCAAAGACUAUCAUAAGAAUUUUUGAUAUAGUUUGUUGAGAAACCUUCGAGGGAGGACAGAAUGCCAUGAGACUUGGACUCAAAUCUGAACUCCAUCACUUGCUAGCUCAGAGACUGUGGGCAAGAAGAUGAACCCGUCUUGGUUUCCUCAUUUGUAACACAGGGAAAAGAACAGUACCUACCUUGAGGGUGAUAAAGACGAUUACCUUAGACAUCAUGCCUGGCACAUAAUAGCUCAUAUUUAAUGAGUCCUUAUUGGCCACAGAAAUCUGGGAUUGAAUUAUGUGCUCCUUUCUCAUUUGAAUGCUGCCCAGUAAGAGACCAGGGCAAGAGCUGGGAUAAGUAGCUAGGGAUGGUGGAGGAGAAUGACAGAAGAUAACAAAUAAUGUUUUCAGUUCUUUUCAUCAAGCUGUAUUUCCCUUUCCCCAUCUUAUAGAAUAGACUGUAGCACAUUUGCACUAGUCUGUUCUGGGAUCUUGAGUUCACUUUAAAAUCACUUAAAGAAAUGCUCCACUGCAAAAUGGAGCAUCCUCUGAAGGGCCGAAGCCCUGUCCAAAGCAGCGGUAGGCACUGGAGCCUUAGUGGCCAGACCAGUGUGCUGGGGGUGUGUCUGUGACCCAGGAGAAGUGAGGCUCAGAAAAGCACAAUUACUGCGUCUUCUUAAUUUUCCUUCUAAAGUUAUUCGACGGGACUGUGGUUUUGCUUUGAGCAAAACCCGCUUAACGGCUGGGAAUCUAAAAGCAAACAACAUUAUUUUAUUAGGUUACCCUAGCAGAUGAAAGCAGAGUGUUCCAUUUGGACUCUUUUUGGAGUCAAUUAAUGCAUUAGCUAAAAACAAACCCUUUUAAAAGAGAGUUCCUGUUGUCUUCAGCAGCUUCGAAGGGAAAGCUUCAGAAACAAGAGAGGUGAGCUGUAAACAAGUAAUACAUUCAUUGAUAAGAACAACUAUUGUACUAAUACAUUUCAACUCGUGUUAGAAUGUAAAACUCAUCUCAGAGGAUGAUUUUUUUAAAGUUUUAUUUUUAACCAAGACCAGGGAAUUUAAAUUUAUCAUAUAGUUUAUGUGACAAUGCCUGACUCAACUAAAGUCAAUUUUAAAUAGCUUUAGUUGUUUUAAUAAAAUAUUUAUUUAUGACUUGUAAAGUAAGUGAUCAGUACAUAAAACUGUGAUUGUUUUCAGUUAUGGUUUUAACUCCAGCAAUAGAAAAGGCCUAUAAAGUAGGACAAUAAUGGAGAUCACUCAUUUGGGAAAAAAAUACGAAUAGUUUAUUUCCACCCUCACAAACUCAUGUGCCUCUGACCAUUAUGCAAGGCACCAUGAAAUUAAAUACUUAUGUCAGAAUAUAUUUGUCUUCCAUGAUUCAAGAUAAAGUGAAUUUUAAAAGCAAAUGGGUGCCAAUGAUGGGGAGAUGAGGGGAAUAGGGCAGGCAGCAACAGGGUAACAUGCAUUUUUCAAGAGUGUUUCUCAAAAAUUCAUCCAUUCAUCCAUCCUUCAAAAUAAUAACUAGGAGCCUCUACUAAGAGAAUCAGAGACACAAUCCCAACCAUCAUGGAUCCCGAUCUGGACUUUCAAGCUGAAGACUGCCACUGUUUUAAGAGACGGAGGUGGCCGGGCGCAGUGGCUCACACCUGUAAUCCCAGCACUUUGGGAGGGUGAGCCAGGCGGAUCACCUGAGGUCGGGAAUUCGAGAUCAGCCUGGCCAACAUGGAAAAACUCUGUCUCUACUUAAAAUACAAAUAAUGAGUCGAGUGUGGUGGCAUAUGCUUGUAAUCCCAGCUACUUGGGAGGCUGAGGCAGGAGAAUCGCAUGAACCUGGGAAGUGGAGGUUGAAGUGAGCCGAGAUUGCACCACUGCACUCCAGCCUGGGCAACAAGAGCAAAACUCCAUCUCAAAAAAAAAAAAAAAAAAAAAAAAAAAAAAAAAAAAAAAAAAAAAAGGCAGAGGUGACAAUGCUGUUAGAUGCCUCAGACAUUAAAAUGAAGCAAUGAACUCCCCAUGGUCUUCCUAACAUAACAGAACUCUUUGGUGAAGGUUAUUCCCCAAAGGUAAAACAAAAGGCACACACUCCUUUGUGGGCAGUACCAUUUGUGGAAAGAACAUUUCACUGCUCUGACCAGGGAACGUGUCUCUUAAAAAUCUUUGGAAAAAUCCACAUCCUGAAAGCAUUUGAUUACCCUGAUUUGAAAAUGGGAUUUUGCUCAGUGGCAAGGAUACAAAUUCAUCCCCACAAGUAUGCCUUCUGCGGUAAAAGGCACAUGAUGACUUUUAGGGACAGUUUAUUUGGAAGGUUGAUAAAUGGGGCCAUAAGACAGGACUCAUCAAAUUUCUUUUUUGAGAUCUCCCUCUACCUGAAGCAUUCCAGCAUGACUUGCAUUCUGAAUACCUAGUUGGAGGAGGUUACAAACAGUUUCAAGCGCCAUUUGUUCCCGUUUUGAUUCCCCACUCGCUGGGUUAUGUGCUGUUAGACAUUUCCAGAAGACUGUCAAAAUGUAAGCAUCCUGAGGUUUACAUAGGCCACGCCAUUAAAUAACAUAUAAGCACAACAUUUUAAACAUUGUUUUCCAGCAAUGGUAAAUAUUUUAGCUAAGUAGAAACUAAAGCUUGAAAUGCAAUAAGCACUUAAAUGACUCCUUUCUGUGCCAGAAUUCUUAUUUUCCUCUGUGCGACCCUGGCUUCUGGGAUUAAGGCAACCCCAGGGAGCUCAGCAAAUGGUUGUGGGUUACGAGGUGUAGCAGGAGCUUGGCGACAGCAUGCCACCCAGCCUCAAGAAACCCAGCCAUGACUGGAACCCAAGAAUCAGUGUGUUCACUUUGUGGUCAGCUUCACAUUUUUCCCCUCCUUGAAAAAAAAAAAAAGCUGCUAUGAAAAUCAGACCUCUCUCCCAACCCCCAAGGAAUCACGUGGUGGACCAGGAGCAGAGUGGAGACUCGGGGCAGGCAGAGCAGAGGAGGCUGGCCCCCUCACGUAGGCAGGCAAGCAGGCAGGCAUGUGGGAGUUACCAGCUUCAGUUCCUCAGCCCUACAGAGGGAAACGACCCACGGCACCAACAACAGCCACACCACUGACGACGACAACGGAUUGUGCUGUCACCAGAAAGAAGGGAAACCCAGAGCGAAUUUUACAGUGGUUUUCACCACACGGUGAUUGCAGUCCUGUUCAGGGCAUGUCACAGUAACACCACCCACUGAGCAGAACCCAGAGGGAAAUUAGGCCUCCUUCAAAGUCUCCCAUUACUGCCUAUCCCUGAACAGAAUAAGGCAAGGAUUUUAAGGACACACAGACAUGUGGCCCUACCUCCAUUGGCUUCCUGGGGCCCCUGGCUUCUUAUUCACUAAAGAGAAUUGUUCUCAGUGACUGACAAGGCUAAAUGAAGACAGGGUGCUCUCUCAUUAAAUGCAACUGCUCUUUAAGAGGCAGGCAGGGCCAUGGACAAGUUAUGAGAUUUUUGGUCAGUGUUUUUACCAAGAAAACUUGAUCUGCCAUAAAAUCUCAAACAAGUGAAGAAAAGGAAUGCAGAGAUGCAGGGCCUUUUCUCCACAUUCAAAAGACCAAAGUUGGCAUGUUUUGUUCUAACACCAACCACAUUUCUAACACAUAUUUGGAGUUCUGUGACUAGUCUCUGAGAUUAUAAUACAGAUAUUUAUCACUUAUCACACUGAAUUUGGGGAGGGGAUUCCCCUUUGGUUUUGUCAAAUAAUCACAGAAGGAGCCAUGUAUGUUAUCUGUCCUGUUUCUAGUGAAGAAGACAAAGCUCUUCACUCCCCUCCUGACCCUCCCCCUCUAAAAAAUCAGCCAUUUAUGGCGGGUAUUGACUCUUGCCAAUUUUAAACUGUAACUUCAAAUGUCAGCCUGUUGACUUACAGAAACAGACUGACAAAUGGCUGUCUGCUAUGGAGAAAAACUUUGGAAACUCAAAAUGUUCAUACAGACUGCCAACAGAUUAAUUAGUAGCCUCUUUGGAAGCAUGAUCACGGUCUAAGAAUAGCCUUAAAUCCUGUUCAAGACUAGCUUCUUUCCCCAAAUCAUUAUAGUGCUAGCCAAAUAAUAGCAAAUGUUAGAUACAGUGGUAUAUGGUUUUGGUGUGUGCAAGAGUCAGACUGGAUUAGAAAAUACGACUGCCAUUUCAUACCAGUUUUCAUGGCUAAGUUCUACUAAAACUAUGUGACCUUCAUCAUCACAAUAAACUGCCGAAAGUGCUGGAAUGAC